AGUAAAGUGGGUUUACAAAUUUUAAAAAUUUUACAUCAAUUUUACAGCCAACCAAACAACUUAGCUAAAUUAAUUUCACUUCACUUCUUUGCAACCAAACGUCUUAAAAGGGAGAAAAAAAAUUUCUUUCACUUCCCUUUCCCGUUUCCCUUUCAACCAAACGGAGCCUAAAAAAAGCUUAAUAAAGGGAUUGUU